rnacentral:rRNA from 1 species
UGGGGAAUUUUGGACAAUGGGGGCAACCCUGAUCCAGCCAUCCCGCGUGUGCGAUGAAGGCCUUCGGGUUGUAAAGCACUUUUGGCAGGGAAGAAACAGCCUGGGAUAAUACCCCGGGCGACUGACGGUACCUGCAGAAUAAGCACCGGCUAACUACGUGCCAGCAGCCGCGGUAAUACGUAGGGUGCAAGCGUUAAUCGGAAUUACUGGGCGUAAAGCGUGCGCAGGCGGUUCGGAAAGAAAGGUGUGAAAUCCAGGGCUUAACCUUGGAACUGCACUUUUAACUACCGAGCUAGAGUACGUCAGAGGGGGGUAGAAUUCCACGUGUAGCAGUGAAAUGCGUAGAGAUGUGGAGGAAUA